rnacentral:rRNA from 1 species
UACGAAGGGGGCUAGCGUUGUUCGGAAUUACUGGGCGUAAAGCGCACGUAGGCGGAUUUGUAAGUCAGGGGUGAAAUCCCGGGGCUCAACCUCGGAACUGCCUUUGAUACUGCAAGUCUUGAGUCCGAUAGAGGUGAGUGGAAUUCCUAGUGUAGAGGUGAAAUUCGUAGAUAUUAGGAAGAACACCAGUGGCGAAGGCGGCUCACUGGAUCGGUACUGACGCUGGGGUGCGAAAGCGUGGGGAGCAAACAGG